GACGACCUCUCAGAUUUGAAUAUGCUUCUGUGAGGACGACGGUAUACUGUAUAUUUCCUUGGAUUACUUGACCUUUUAGACAAGAUUGAUGGUGCUAUUGUCAGAGGGAAACCUGCCAAUAUAAGUUAUGGCUCUGGCAAACAAGCACAUGUAAUUAUGGCCAUUUUUUUGUAUACUCGUCUGAAGAAGUUUAAAAUAGGAAAACAAAAACAAAUCUCAACUGUUUAUGUAAUGCAGAUAAAUUCUCUUGUCAUGACAAAUAACAGUUUUCUUUUGAGCAUAAUUUGCCUCUGUUAUUUUUCUUUUCUCUAGCAUUGCUGACUUCUUUUCCAUGGCAAAUAAAUUUAAGUGCUAACUCGAAUCUGGGUGCCAGUGCUAACUGAUAAUGACUUUCCUUCCAAUAUACUGUUUUUGGCUGUUAUUCUAUAUAUGUGCACUAAUGAGUAUGCUAUAUUUGACAGUGAUGGUGGAUUAUUGAUUUACUGUUCUUUUAAAGUUAAAUUGCAUUUGAUUACACUAAGAAUUGUUAGUGGAUUCAUCACUAUUAUUGCUUUUCUUGGGAAAUCAAGUGGAAUCUUGUUAACAGGUACAUUCUUAUUUCGGGCAUUAAGGACUUAUCUGACUGAAAGAGAUCAUUUGCCUCGUUGCUCAGUUCAGGCACCAGGGUAUGCCUUAAAAUUUACUAUGGACUCCUGAUUAUUUUUUUGGUCAAUACAGGUCUCCACAUAAAUGAAGUGAAUGCCUGGAAGAUCUUAGUAGUAUUUGUUAUAGUAGGUAAAUUUUUUACUCUUUCCUAAGACGACCUGUUUUGACCUAACAAAGAAAUAGGCUCAUUAAAAAAUUUAAUUCACUCUUAACCAAAUAAAUCUUUCUGGAUUGUUUUGAUGCUUUACCAUAACAAGCCCACACAUGUGUUCAUUCUUUUUUUUUUAAUACCUUUUUAUGUCCCUUUAUCAUUGAAUUUGAGGCACGGAAACAGGAUUUAUUAAGGUAGGCUAUUUUCUUUCAUAUCCUAUGACAGCUACAAUUACUUGAGAUUUAUCCUGAGUUCUACCAAAAUCAGCUUUUGGGAUCAACUAUGACUUAACGUGAUAUUCUGAGUUCUAACAUAAUUUGGAUUUUGUAAUCAACUGUUAUUUGGCAUGAUAAUGUAGUGUGCUGUACCACCCAGCGCAUAACCUUGUCCCCCCUACCCUCUUCUGGGUAUGCCAUUACCAAUCGUAGGUAACCCCCUAUUUAUCAUCUGGUUGGUGUUUGUACUCUGGUGACCCUUGUAACCUUGUUCUUGGAUAGGCCCUAUUUUGUUAACUAGAGUGGGACUGUGCCUACACAUGAUAGGGAGUAUUGUGUUCUGUUGUCAUGUUGUUGAGGGGCUGAUCUCCUAACAGCUUAGGCUUUUGGGAUUUACAGUUGCUCGGAUUUGUUUUGCUACUAGAAAACGAAGAGGUUUUCUGGUUUGUUUUCUGUUUCAGGAGCUUUUACAGCCCGACCUCUGCAUAUGUAGGUAUGUUUCUGUUUCAGGAGCUAUUACAGUCUCGGGACCUCUUCAUUUGUAGGUUGGAUUCUGAGAGAUGCAUGUCCUGAAUAUAGCUUGUCCACUGUCCCAGCUUGUUAUUUUUUACUGUAAGAUGAUUGUCAUUGCCCUAGCAUCUGGCUCUGUUUUAUCAUUAGUUAUCCUUGCCCUAAAUCUUGUCCUAUUUUGCAUAUAUUUUUAGGGGAUGGAGCCUCUGGCUCUGUUAAUUAGUAGUCGUUGAUGGUAUUGAUUGGUCAUUUCUGGAGGAAUGUUUCUCUUUACCUCCCUAAUGGAUUGUUAAUUUAUUUCAAAUACUAAUGGGUUUGAAUCCGUUUGAAAUCCAGAAGCAGCGAGAAACCACUGUUCUUGCGUGUAUUACAUUCUCACGAAACAUUGUGGCUUUUUGUUUUCAUGGUUUCUAUGAUCUUUCUUUCCUUUCUUAAAUAUUUUUGUCAUUCCUCCCUUUAAUUUGAACCGGUAUUUACUUAUGCAUGUUUACAGAGGCUGGAUUACACUUAACCAGCCCUACACUUCCCCUUCAGAUUCUUUUUCAUCCCUGUGAAUCCAAUUUCAACACAUUUACACUAGUAUGUUACAAUUUUGAGUUGAUUCAGUUUGACAUUUCCGCCGGAGUGGUGUACAAAAAGUGGAGGCCAAUGUAGUGUCUCCCUAUCCUUCCCCGUUGCCCUUCUCUUUUCUUUGGUGGAAUGAGGAAAGGAAUGGGGUCACAUGUCUAAGGUAUGUUUUCUUGUCAAUGUAUUAAUUAUUAAUUUGGAUGAAUGUGAUACAAUCAGGAAAUUAUAAAUGUGGAUCUGUUGGAUUUAGAACAAUGAUGAAAGAGUAUUAGCCAUUUCAAUUAUCAUUAGAUAAACUGUGUUCGUAACUUCGUAUAUAGGUUGAACAGUAAUUAGAUGACUAACUGGUUUGAAUAUUGUUUAAAAAAAAAAAGAAUGGUUUAAAUAUUGCUGUUUUUUGGCAAAGGUGAUCAUAGACGGGAUCCUGAAAUGGACAGGCUGGAUUGUUGGGCCAUAUUAGUACAUUACGGAUGUUAUAUAAGUUCGUUAUCAGUUGACACUAAAAAAAGUGUUUUGAUACUGUGUAACUUUUGGUAAAAUUUCUUCUUUCUUAAAUCCUAAUGUUACAAUGAUCAUCCAAUUUUGAUACAGUGUAACUUUUGGCUGUCAUUCCAUGAAUAAAUUCUAAAUCUAAUAAAGUAUAGAUGGAUAUUAAGACCGAUUAGGAUAUUAUUAACAAGGUUUAGAAAGGAAAAAAAACAGUUUGUGUAUGAUUGAGCAGUACACAGGACUCUCUUUUGCUGAGGAAUCAGUGGGUUACUAUAUAUAGUUUUACCAGAUCAAUUGAUAGUGUACCUUGUAUAAGAGUGGUGUUCUGCUGAUUCAACCGUUGAAUUUAAUUCUCUAAUCAUACCCAAUGUUUACUUCAUAUACGCGGUACUAGAAUUAGUAUCCUUAAACUAGAAACGUAACCUUUAUCAUAUGGUUUGUGUGGGUGUUAAAAAAUUAUGUGAAUGGGUUGAGCAGUAAAUUCAAUAUUGUUUGAGCAUAGAACAAGCCCCACAAAAACUAAAUAACUGGUGUAACACACUCUAGUUUCCAGCCCCAGUUGCUUUGUGUUGUGUGGCUAAAGGUGAACAGUGUCAUGAUUGAUGUACGAGAGCUCUGAUAUUCAGACAGAGUUUAGGGUGUAACCGUGUAGGAUUUACGUUUUAAGUAGUUUUAAGGAUUAUGCGUAACACACUCUAGAAUGUUAAGACACUGACCAAUUAAUAUUUAACAAGGCAGAAAAAUAUCCAGUUGGAAGGUUAAACUUGUAUUUGUCAUGAAGAUCUCUUGUAAAUGUUGUGUGUGUAUUUUUAUGUAUGCAGUUGCUCGCAACUGGAAGUUUGUGGUGGCAUGUGUUCAAUCUCGGUAGUACAUCAACAAAGGAGGUGUGAUUUGCGUUUUGAUCUUUUGCUGACAAAGUUCCGAGAAUGCACGUCAAAGUAUUACCUUGCUGAAUCUCAAUUUUGGACUUCAGGAAGUCCAUGCUUUUUAGAUGUCUUGCUGAAUCUUAAUUUUGGUUGCAAAACCAGCAAUGAAUGAAUUAGAAACAAAGAAGCUGCAUAUUGAAUGGCACAUAGGAGCAGUUUUGUUUCAUUGCUAUGCUCUUCAAUAUUUAUCAUCUGUUUAAUUAUCAUUUUGAGUUCUCUAAUUGAAACUGUAGGAAUGUCCAGCUGCUGAAUGACAACAGAAAAUAACGAUGAACAAAGCCUGCAGUGUAAUUUUGUUACCGCAAUUGUCCUAGUGCCUGAACCUUGCUUCAAUGGUAUUAUGCGCGGAAGAAUUUUGGAUUGAAGCUGUUGCCGAUUUGCUUGAAAACAAGAUUGCGUAGCCCAUAUCUCAGAUCGUUGUCUAGGAGAACGAUCAUGUUGUGGUGUUGUUUUCGGUAGCUCUGUGACACCAAGAUUGUUUCACGUUGCACUCAAGGACGCUGCUUUUAGUAGUCGCCUAUAAAAUCAGUAGACUAUCCAUUUAAUUUUGUUUUUCCUGUUGUAAAGUUUGGAGCCUCCAGCACAAGUGCUUCCAUGUUUGGGGAGUUAAGCCGAAGAGCAUAAUAUUAGGCUUUCGUUUGUAUCCUUAAUAUUUUCCAGGUGAAUAUUUUUGUGUAGGGUAA